GAAAUGCGAUAAGUAAUGUGAAUUGCAGAAUUCCGUGAAUCAUCGAAUCUUUGAACGCACAUUGCGCCCUCUGGUAUUCCGGGGGGCAUGCCUGUCCGAGCGUCAUUGCGAACCCCUCAAGCACGGCUUGUGUGAUGGGCCCUCCCGCGUCUUGGUCGUCAAGACGGGCCCGAAAAGCAGUGGCGGCUUCGCGGUUAUCCGAUCAGCCAGAGCGUAUGGGGACUUUCUCUCUGUCACACGCCCGCGGCGCGGACCGACGCCUGUCGACCUUUAUUCAUCUUUUUCUCGGUUGACUUCGGAUCAGGUAGGGAUACCCGCUGAACUGAAGC
rnacentral:misc_RNA from 1 species